rnacentral:lncRNA from 1 species
CCAAUGGAAAAAAACGCGAACGUAAACAACAGCGGGACAAACAAACCAAGAAGAAAAAGAAAGAUAAGAAAGAGGAUAAACCAGAAGAACCAGAUAGAAAAGAGACAGAGGAGGGGGAAGAAAAGGAAGGAGGAUCAUAUCGUAUCGUCCCCGGUUUGACAGAAGGUGAACCACUGUGCAAAGUUUGAAAGGGUUUAUUUUAGAAUUAAAAUUACAAAUCUAAGGUCCCCAAAAUGUGUAGAUGGACGAUGGCUCAAUGACUGGAAAACCCUAGGAAUCCAAGAAACAAAAUACCUAAAGUGAAAAGAACAAAAGUCACAGGAUUGUCCAGGCCCCAAGGUCCUGGAAUCACACAGCAGCACCUUUCAGAAAAAAUCCAGCCUUCUGCCAAGUCCACCACAGGAAUUAAACCAGCUGAAGAAUGGUGGCACGGUGACGAUGCAGUGCAUAAACAGUCCGGCAGAGGUCGCUGCAGCAAACAAACAGCUUGUUUAUUAUCUCAGGCAGAAAGAAAAAAGAAAAGAGGAUCAAUGAACAGCGAACAGGUGGCACGCGGAAGUGCAACCUGUGCGCGUGUCCCGGUGUUUAAAUGCCAGCAGGCUGAGCGCGCG